rnacentral:pre_miRNA from 7 species
AAGCCAGUAAAUAGGACCCCUCCAUCACCCCUGCAUUGGCUCCUACUGUAAGACCCCCUUUCGGGGACCCCUACUCUAGUCUCGGGAGUGUGAGAGCACCCAAAGAAACACGAGGACCC